AAGAAUCGAGAGGUAGAAGGAUAUUUGGGAAAGAAAAAGGGAGAGAGAAGAUGGCGGCCAAUCAAGGUGAUUGAAGGAAAUUGUCUAAUCUCAUAGUUCUCCAGUUCUUCUUCUAUUUCAAUAGGAUUGAGGCAGUGAGGAUAUUCGAAAGGCAAAAUGUCUAAAUUAGCUUGAAGCCUAUAAUUCGGUGAAAAUUAAUCAUUCUUAGCUGGAAAAGCCUAAUGAUUUCGAAAUGAG